GACGAACGCUGGCGGCGUGCUUAACACAUGCAAGUCGAACGGUAAGGCCCUUCGGGUACACGAGUGGCGAACGGGUGAGUAACACGUGGGUGAUCUGCCCUGCACUUUGGGAUAAGCCUGGGAAACUGGGUCUAAUACCGAAUAGGACUCCGGACUGCAUGGUCUGGGGUGGAAAGCUUUUGCGGUGUGGGAUGGGCCCGCGGCCUAUCAGCUUGUUGGUGGGGUGAUGGCCUACCAAGGCGACGACGGGUAGCCGGCCUGAGAGGGUGACCGGCCACACUGGGACUGAGAUACGGCCCAGACUCCUACGGGAGGCAGCAGUGGGGAAUAUUGCACAAUGGGCGCAAGCCUGAUGCAGCGACGCCGCGUGAGUGAUGAAGGCCUUUCUGGUUGUAAAGCUCUGUAAGGAGGGAAGAAUGUCAGGCAGUAAUGUGUCUGAGUGACGGUACCUCCGGAGUAAGGACCGGCUAAAUACGUGCCAGCAGCCGCGGUAAUGUAG
rnacentral:rRNA from 1 species